AUUCCAAACAACCGAUAUUACAGGGAAACUUAUUUAACCCACCUGCUGUUUGAGGCUAAAAAUGACUGUAGAGCAUUACCUGCAAAGGUAACAUGCUAACACAGCCUUUGUCCUCUGCCAUCAGGACAAAGGCUGUUUGCGUUUAGGCUAUUCCAAUGACAUCCUUCAGGGUCAAAGUGGAUCCUUCUCAAGGCAGAGGGACCAGGACUCAGCCGCAGUGGGGUCUUCUGUGAGGCAACAACAGACUUCACUGUGGAUGCACAAAUGAGUUUGCGCUCCAUGUUUUGAGGGUCAUGAGCUUCGCCUGGCGCUAUGGCUGGGCUGAAAUAUUGCAGGAAUCUCCUUUGUUCCCAAGGAGAUUGGUGAGCACCUUGUUAACAUCGAGAAGAACGGCCGUCAUGUUCCCAGCAGCCCAACUGCUGUUAUGAUCAAGCAGUCAGGGAUUGGUGAUGUGAGCCGUGUGUGUGUGAGUGGACGGUGGCUGACCGAGGCCAGGACUUUUCAGCCUUGAGAGUUCAUCAUUGAUGCAGUUUUGCCCUGAGCUGAACCGCUGCCUCCUUCUCUGUUGUGGUACUCAGCGGUGACCAAGAUGCUGUAACGUGCAUCUGGCUGCAGUGACUCCAGCAUCACCUGCUUCUCUCCACCAGGGACCAGCACCUGCAGACAACAAACAACACUAUCAUCCCAACACAGUCAGAACUCAUUUAAAGUUUUAGGACUUGUGGAAUUUCUGGAAUUCUGACACAUGACAGCCGGCUGAAGCCCAGAAGAGGUGAAGAUGUGAUGACUACGACCCACUCACAGUGUGAUCCUGGCUAUCAGCUCCAGUCAAUGCUGUGUAGGACACGUGAUACUGGAGGACAUGAGCAUUGGGAGGUACCCAACUGAUCACCAUGCUGACGGCAGUCUCAUCAGAAAGCGUGAGGCUGGUUGGGCCUCCACCAGAGCCUGCAGCAACAUCAUAGAAGAGAUAAAGUACCACAGCUAACGACACUUAACACUCACUUUCUUCCUUUAUAGGAGGAAAUUAUUUUGGCAGCAGAGCAAAGUGUUUUUUUUAGAAAAUAAAUGUAAAGUAUAACAGAGAAUUUGAUACUUUGAUUUGAUACUUUAACCUCACUACAUUUAUUUCAUAGCUCAGAGUUCUAGUUACUCAAAGAUGAGAAUUUAGAUGUGAAAUUUAACCUUUAAGUGACUAGUACUUUGAGAACUGCCAUCAAUUACACAAUGAAGUUCAUUGACGUACAGGUUAUUGUAUUAGUAAUGCUAUAUUGUACAUAGAGACACAAUAUGACAGAAUAUGACUGCUGCUAAUGUGACUUAGGUAAAUGGUUUCAGGCUCUCCCCUCCUGAGUUUGAGAAAUGUUCAGGAUCAGAAAAUGUGUGACUCACAGGUGCUGUAGCAUACGGCCACAGCUUCACUCUGAGCUCCAUCUCCAUAGAGUGCAGACAGUGAUAUCUGAUGCUCCUUAAGACACAGGACAACAGUUUAUUGAGACAUUGUAUUUUUUACUUCAUAAUAUGUACUCCAACAAUCCAAUAGUUCUUCCCCACCUGUCUCAGGUCGCCUCCACUUAGUGAGGUAAGAAACAUCAUCAUCAUCUGCAGCUUCCCAGCGCAC
ensembl:lncRNA